GCGGGUGUGGUGGAAUUGGCAGACACGCAAGAUUUAGGUUCUUGUGGGCGACCGUGCAGGUUCAAGUCCUGUCACCCGCACGA
rnacentral:tRNA from 1 species